GUGCAUUUCCAGGGGGGAAAGAAGGGGCUUAGUGAAGGAGAAUUUCCACCAUGGUUUCUCUUCCCUUGCCUGAGAACCCUCUGCCGCAUGAUGUGGAAUCCUUUUGUAAGGACCAGGAAGCGGAAGUGAGGUACUUACUCCAGGAGCAGCUCUAGUCCAGCCACCACAUGUCUGGGCUUUGGUCAAGUCCUUACUACUCAAAGUAUAGGCUGUGGCAUGGACCUGGGGCUUGCUAGAAAUGUGACAUUUCAGCUCCACUGACACCUGCUGGGUCAAAGCCUGCAUUUUAAUUGAAGUUUCAGAGCUCUGUAGGAAGUGACACAGUACUGGAUGCUGGGAAUAUAAACUGUUUGGCUCUGUCUUCCUGGAGCUGCAAUCUGAAGUGGGGAAAUCCUGAUGAAUUCACUGAGAACUCGUUCCACAGCGAGAGCAGUAUAGAGAGUGAGGAGAAACAGCUGUCUGGCAGGGCCGUGGAGCCUGAAUCAGGAGAAUCCUUCGAUCCUCCACUAAGGAACCAGAAUCAGGGCUCUGAGAAAUCACGAGCCCGAGCUUACAGCAGAAUGAAGACUGCUUUUAUUCUCUUGUUCCUGUUGAAAAAUAACAACUCUGCCACCCACCCUUGUCUCCUAUUGCAAGAAGACCUCCAGAGUAAUUAAAUUCAACAGUUGAAAUGAUGUCAGCUUCCGCCACAUCCUCAUUGACUGCACCCUUCACCUGUGAGAAGCACCACUGGAAGUCUUGGCUGCCCUUUGGGCAGCCGCAGCCUCGGGCUCCUGACUUGGCAGCAGCGUGGGACAGGGCCUGCCCAGCCGAGCGCUCCCGACCCGAGGCGCCCCACUGAGUGCUCAGCUCUGGCUGCCAUCGCAGCCCAUUGCUUUUUUUUUUUUGCUGUACUGGGGUCAAACUCAAGACUUUGUGCUUGCCAGGCAGGCACAGCGCUGCUGAGGUACAUUACGGGCCCUUUUCUCUCCUUGCUGAGACAGAAUACCGACACCC
rnacentral:lncRNA from 1 species